UCUAAGCACCGGUUCGUGUAUGAUCACCGAAAUUAAGCAACAUUGAGCCUGCUCAGCACCUAGGUGGGUGACCGUUUGGGAAUAUCAGGUGCUGUA